rnacentral:rRNA from 1 species
UCUAACAUCUGUGUGAGUGUUUGGGUGUCAAACCCGUACGCGUAAUGAAAGUGAACGGAGGCGGGAACCCCUCGGGGUGCACCGUCGCCCGAUCCUGAUGUCUUCGGAUGGAUUUGAGUAAGAGCAUAGCUGUUGGGACCCGAAAGAUGGUGAACUAUGCCUGAAUAGGGUGAAGCCAGAGGAAACUCUGGUGGAGGCUCGCAGCGGUUCUGACGUGCAAAUCGAUCGUCAAAUUUGGGCAUAGGGGCGAAAGACUAAUCGAACUAUCUAGUAGCUGGUUCCUGCCGAAGUUUCCCUCAGGAUAGCAGUAACGUUUUCAGUUUUAUGAGGUAAAGCGAAUGAUUAGAGGCCUGGGGGUUGAAACAACCUUCACCUAUUCUCAAACUUUAAAUAUGUAAGAAGUCCUUGUUGCUUAGUUGAACGUGGACAUUUGAAUGUAUCGUUACUAGUGGGCCAUUUUUGGUAAGCAGAACUGGCGAUGCGGGAUGAACCGAACGCGGAGUUAAGGUGCCGGAAUGCACGCUCAUCAGACACCACAAAAGGUGUUGGUUCAUCUAG